AGGAUUACAAGGAUGCUGCCAAUGUAUUCCCAGGUGGAUUUUGCUGACAGUCCUAGCUAUAAGUAUUGGGAAGAACAUGGCUGCCAUUUGCCCACCCUCCUCCCAUUGCUAUCUUUCCCUGUGGAUUCAAGUAACACCUUUUUCAAAUGAUGAGCUGGAUUCCAUUCAGGCACCUUCAAUCGAUGGUACAGAAGGUCCAAAGGCAGAGUUAUUGUUCAGACAAUAAUAGUGGGUGAGUCAACAAGAACACAGUAUGAGCCUCUCUGUUCCUAGACUGAUCUUGCCACGUCAACAGCAAGAGAAAAUCUUUAAGCUCCCCUCUGAGCUACAAUACUCAAGAGCAUGAGAUACAUCACAGUAGAGGGUUUGUACUGUGGAAGGAAGGGGGGG